CAAAAUGAGAGUUUGAUCCUGGCUCAGGACGAACGCUGGCGGCGUGCCUAAUACAUGCAAGUCGAGCGAGCAGAACCAGCAGAUUUACUUCGGUAAUGACGCUGGGGACGCGAGCGGCGGAUGGGUGAGUAACACGUGGGGAACCUGCCCCAUAGUCUAGGAUACCACUUGGAAACAGGUGCUAAUACCGGAUAAUAAAGCAGAUCGCAUGAUCAGCUUAUAAAAGGCGGCGUAAGCUGUCGCUAUGGGAUGGCCCCGCGGUGCAUUAGCUAGUUGGUAAGGUAACGGCUUACCAAGGCAAUGAUGCAUAGCCGAGUUGAGAGACUGAACGGCCACAUUGGGACUGAGACACGGCCCAAACUCCUACGGGAGGCAGCAGUAGGGAAUCUUCCACAAUGGACGCAAGUCUGAUGGAGCAACGCCGCGUGAGUGAAGAAGGUUUUCGGAUCGUAAAGCUCUGUUGUUGGUGAAGAAGGAUAGAGGUAGUAACUGGCCUUUAUUUGACGGUAAUCAACCAGAAAGUCACGGCUAACUACGUGCCAGCAGCCGCGGUAAUACGUAGGUGGCAAGCGUUGUCCGGAUUUAUUGGGCGUAAAGCGAGCGCAGGCGGAAGAAUAAGUCUGAUGUGAAAGCCCUCGGCUUAACCGAGGAAUUGCAUCGGAAACUGUUUUUCUUGAGUGCAGAAGAGGAGAGUGGAACUCCAUGUGUAGCGGUGGAAUGCGUAGAUAUAUGGAAGAACACCAGUGGCGAAGGCGGCUCUCUGGUCUGCAACUGACGCUGAGGCUCGAAAGCAUGGGUAGCGAACAGGAUUAGAUACCCUGGUAGUCCAUGCCGUAAACGAUGAGUGCUAAGUGUUGGGAGGUUUCCGCCUCUCAGUGCUGCAGCUAACGCAUUAAGCACUCCGCCUGGGGAGUACGACCGCAAGGUUGAAACUCAAAGGAAUUGACGGGGGCCCGCACAAGCGGUGGAGCAUGUGGUUUAAUUCGAAGCAACGCGAAGAACCUUACCAGGUCUUGACAUCUAGUGCCAUCCUAAGAGAUUAGGAGUUCCCUUCGGGGACGCUAAGACAGGUGGUGCAUGGCUGUCGUCAGCUCGUGUCGUGAGAUGUUGGGUUAAGUCCCGCAACGAGCGCAACCCUUAUUAUUAGUUGCCAGCAUUAAGUUGGGCACUCUAAUGAGACUGCCGGUGACAAACCGGAGGAAGGUGGGGAUGACGUCAAGUCAUCAUGCCCCUUAUGACCUGGGCUACACACGUGCUACAAUGGGCAGUACAACGAGAAGCGAGCCUGCGAAGGCAAGCGAAUCUCUGAAAGCUGUUCUCAGUUCGGACUGCAGUCUGCAACUCGACUGCACGAAGCUGGAAUCGCUAGUAAUCGCGGAUCAGAACGCCGCGGUGAAUACGUUCCCGGGCCUUGUACACACCGCCCGUCACACCAUGGAAGUCUGCAAUGCCCAAAGCCGGUGGCCUAACCUUCGGGAAGGAGCCGUCUAAGGCAGGGCAGAUGACUGGGGUGAAGUCGUAACAAGGUAGCCGUAGGAGAACCUGCGGCUGGAUCACCUCCUUUCUAAGGAA
rnacentral:rRNA from 1 species